CAAUAGCAUAUAUUAACGUUGUUGCAGUUGAAAAGCUCGUAGUUGAACUUUUGGUAGGAGCGACCUGGUCUUGGGCGCAUGCCCUUGUUUGCCGUGUGUCGUAUCUGGCCAUCCUUUUCCGCUUCGGCGGGAAUCUUUUACUGUGAGUAAACUGGAGUGCUCAAAACAAGUCGUUUGUUUGGUACAUUAAAGCAUGGAAUAAUAAGAUAGGACCUGGUUACUAUUUUGUUGGUUUGCAUAGCUAGGUAAUGAUUAACAGGGACAGCUGGGGGUAUUCGUAUUUAAUUGUCAGAGGUGAAAUUCUUGGAUUUAUGAAAGACGAACGACUGCGAAAGCAUUUACCAAGGAUGUUUUCAUUAA
rnacentral:rRNA from 1 species